GGUACAGAGGGAUGCUACCGGGCGACCGGAUGCGGAUCUCGAAAGCCUGUCCCAGUUCGGACUGGAGUCUGCAACCCGACUCCACGAAGUUGAAUUCGCUAGUAAUCGCGCAUCAGCCAUGGCGCGGUGAAUACGUUCCCGGGCCUUGUACACACCGCCCGUCAAGCCAUGGGAGCCGGGGGCGCCUGAAGUCCGGGACCGCGAGGACCGGCCUAGGGCGAAACUGGUAACUGGGGCUAAGUCGUAACAAGGUAUC
rnacentral:rRNA from 1 species